CAGAGCUGCUUUCCCAGCCACACCUGGAGAGGUAAUCAGAACGCCCAGGUGGCCAGCUGGAGGGGAGAGGCAGGGCCCUCCACGGGGCUGGGGCCAGAGGGCUGGGGUGCCCCAGGCCAGACUUUGCUCCUGGCUGCAGUCCACACAGCCCACCUCACCCUAGGUUUGCCUAGUGGGCUCUGAAAACCUCACCAAGGACCUUGGGACUCUCAGCAGGAAAUGCUGGGGGCUGGCCCAGAACUUGGGGGGGCCAGAGAGUGCCAGCCUGCCUCCCUUGCACCCCGUCCAGGGCACCAGGUGAAGCGUUCCACGCUCAAGGGCUGUACCGGCCAGAGAAACCUACCAACAUUUGCCUCUGAAAGCCCGGGCCCAGAGGGGAGCAGGUCACUCAGGGCUUACAGCCCAGGAAGGGCCACAGGGAGCCUUCUGCAGCAUUGACUCUGCACUGAAAGAUGACAGUGUCAAAGAAAACUCAGAAGGAAGGGAAGGGAGACGCCCCUCCUCUAACCGCCCUAAUACGACCACGCCUCUCACUGCACCUGCAGGGGAGCCCUCACUGCUCCUUGGAGUGACCCCGGGAGCUUGGGCUGGCGCUGGCUGCCCACCACCCUCGUGCCCCCCGGCCACGGCUGCCUCCUGUGUCCCAAGUUCGCCAGGCUUCAGAUGGACAACAGUGUCUCCUCCCUAGGGAGAAAGGAAGCUGCCUGAGGAGCUUCAGAGUGACAGUGACCAGCUCUGGUGGCCAUGCUGAUUCCUGGGUCUCGGGAGAUGCCUGCUCUCUUGGCGAGUUUUUUCCAGACACCAAGACCAGGAAGGCUUCAGUGACCUUGGCAAUAAGUCUUUCCCCAUUUCCCUGAGAAGGUGACCAUCCUCAGGUGGAUUGAAUCGUGGUGAGAGGUGUGCAUGGGGCAGCAUCAGGGGUAUCCUCAGCUAAGUGCCCGCUGGGACAGAGCUGAAGAACAGGCUUUCCAAACCAGGGGGCCCUGCGGCGCUGGCCCCAGGUUCUGCUGAGGGUGACCCUGGCCUGUCCUAAGCCUGACAGUGGGGGGACAAGGUCUCUGGGUCGAGGACCUGUGGGGGCCAAGCAAGGAGCCCAGAGCCCCCACUCCACACACAGGCAGCGCCCUGCUAAGCCAGCUGGCAGGGCCAGCCUGUGUCUGGGGAAGGGCGGGUGCCCGGCACCUGCUGACCUCUCUGGGGAAACGUCUGCACACUGAAGCAUGGCCUCCCUGAGCACAUGCCUCUUCUAGAACAUUCUGCGAACUCACUGCUCAGGCCUGUGAAGGGAGUCAAGGUUCGGAAGCUUUUCAUGUGCAAGCCCAAAGCUGCUUCGGUGGUAAGGAGAGAGCUGGCGUCCCAUACCUAGAGGCUGGACCUGGGGUUCUCAGUUCAGGUCACAUGUUUGACUGAAGCGUUCAUGGCUGACCUGACUGCAGCCCAAGGCCUUUCCUGCAGGCCAGCACU
rnacentral:lncRNA from 1 species